UAGCUAGUUGGUAAGGUAACGGCUUACCAAGGCGACGAUCAGUAGCCGGACUGAGAGGUUGAUCGGCCACAUUGGGACUGAGACACGGCCCAGACUCCUACGGGAGGCAGCAGUGGGGAAUAUUGCACAAUGGAGGAAACUCUGAUGCAGCGAUGCCGCGUGAGGGAAGAAGGUUUUAGGAUUGUAAACCUCUGUCUUCAGGGACGAAAAAAGACGGUACCUGAGGAGGAAGCUCCGGCUAACUACGUGCCAGCAGCCGCGGUAAUACGUAGGGAGCGAGCGUUGUCCGGAAUUACUGGGUGUAAAGGGAGCGUAGGCGGGAUCGCAAGUCAGAUGUGAAAACUAUGGGCUUAACCCAUAAACUGCAUUUGAAACUGUGGUUCUUGAGUGAAGUAGAGGUAAGCGGAAUUCCUAGUGUAGCGGUGAAAUGCGUAGAUAUUAGGAGGAACAUCAGUGGCGAAGGCGGCUUACUGGGCUUUAACUGACGCUGAGGCUCGAAAGCGUGGGGAGCAAACAGGAUUAGAUACCCUGGUAGUCCACGCCGUAAACGAUGAUUACUAGGUGUGGGGGGACUGACCCCUUCCGUGCCGCAGCAAACGCAAUAAGUAAUCCACCUGGGGAGUACGACCGCAAGGUUGAAACUCAAAGGAAUUGACGGGGGCCCGCACAAGCAGUGGAGUAUGUGGAUUAAUUCGAAGCAACGCGAAGAACCUUACCAGGUCUUGACAUCGUAUGCAUAGCUCAGAGAUGAGUGAAAUCUCUUCAGAGACAUAUAGACAGGUGGUGCAUGGUUGUCGUCAGCUCGUGUCGUGAGAUGUUGGGUUAAGUCCCGCAACGAGCGCAACCCUUACUGUUAGUUGCUACGCAAGAGCACUCUAGCAGGACUGCCGUUGACAAAACGGAGGAAGGUGGGGAUGACGUCAAAUCAUCAUGCCCCUUAUGACCUGGGCCUCACACGUACUACAAUGGCUGUCAACAGAGGGAAGCAAAGCCGCGAGGUGGAGCGAACCCCUAAAAGCAGUCUUAGUUCGGAUUGUAGGCUGCAACCCGCCUACAUGAAGUCGGAAUUGCUAGUAAUCGCAGAUCAGCAUGCUGCGGUGAAUACGUUCCCGGGCCUUGUACACACCGCCCGUCACGCCAUGGGAGUCGGUAACACCCGAAGCCUGUAGUCUAACCGCAAGGAGGACGCAGUCGAAGGUGGGAUUGAUGACUGGGGUGAAGUCGUAACAAGGUAACCGUACUAGUACGAAUC
rnacentral:rRNA from 1 species